ACGAACGCUGGCGGCGUGCCUAAUACAUGCGAGUUGAGCGCUGAAGGUUGGUACUUGUACCGACUGGAUGAGCAGCGAACGGGUGAGUAACGCGUGGGGAAUCUGCCUUUGAGCGGGGGACAACAUUUGGAAACGAAUGCUAAUACCGCAUAAAAACUUUAAACACAAGUUUUAAGUUUGAAAGAUGCAAUUGCAUCACUCAAAGAUGAUCCCGCGUUGUAUUAGCUAGUUGGUGAGGUAAAGGCUCACCAAGGCGAUGAUACAUAGCCGACCUGAGAGGGUGAUCGGCCACAUUGGGACUGAGACACGGCCCAAACUCCUACGGGAGGCAGCAGUAGGGAAUCUUCGGCAAUGGACGAAAGUCUGACCGAGCAACGCCGCGUGAGUGAAGAAGGUUUUCGGAUCGUAAAACUCUGUUGGUAGAGAAGAACGUUGGUGAGAGUGGAAAGCUCAUCAAGUGACGGUAACUACCCAGAAAGGGACGGCUAACUACGUGCCAGCAGCCGCGGUAAUACGUAGGUCCCGAGCGUUGUCCGGAUUUAUUGGGCGUAAAGCGAGCGCAGGUGGUUUAUUAAGUCUGGUGUAAAAGGCAGUGGCUCAACCAUUGUAUGCAUUGGAAACUGGUAGACUUGAGUGCAGGAGAGGAGAGUGGAAUUCCAUGUGUAGCGG
rnacentral:rRNA from 1 species